rnacentral:rRNA from 1 species
AGAGUUGAUCAUGGCUCAGGAUGAACGCUAGCGACAGGCCUAACACAUGCAAGUCGAGGGGCAGCAUAGAAGUAGCAAUACUUGGUGGCGACCGGCGCACGGGUGAGUAACGCGUAUGCAACCUACCUAUCAGAGGGGAAUAACCCGGCGAAAGUCGGACUAAUACCGCAUAAAACAGGGGCACCGCAUGGUGAUAUUUGUUAAAGAAAUUCGCUGAUAGAUGGGCAUGCGUUCCAUUAGGUAGUUGGUGAGGUAACGGCUCACCAAGCCGACGAUGGAUAGGGGAACUGAGAGGUUGGUCCCCCACACUGGUACUGAGACACGGACCAGACUCCUACGGGAGGCAGCAGUGAGGAAUAUUGGUCAAUGGGCGGGAGCCUGAACCAGCCAAAGUCGCGUGAAGGAAGAAGGAUCUAUGGUUCGUAAACUUCUUUUGCAGGGGAAUAAAGUGCGGGACGUGUCCUGUUUUGUAUGUACCCUGAGAAUAAGGAUCGGCUAACUCCGUGCCAGCCGCCGC